CUACAUUUUACUAUGAUCUGUACGCUUGAGGUUUUAUAUAUACUGUGUCUCUAUGGGGGAAAUAGUAUGGAAUGGUCUAAUGCUUUGUGCUUGUUUCCCAUGACACAAUGGUAGCUUGGAAUUGACUUACACUACAAAUCAGAGUUAUUGCUUUUUUGUUUUUGUUUUCCAGAGAGCUGAUUGUUAUCCAUUUAUCAGAACACCAUUGGGUAGAAGUUCUUUGAGAACAGACCUAACUUCCCAUGCAAUUUUAGGCUGCUGAGCUGAAGAAGAAUUUGAGCUGGGAUGGCAUUCAGCCCUUUAAGGACAUCUUCAAGCAAAUAUUCAUCUUCCAGGAGUGUUGGUGGAGAGUUUUCUGAGUUGAGUAGGAGUUUAGACAACAUGCCCCCUAAGAAGUGUCUCAAAGCACAGCUGCCGAUUGUGACAGCAAUCUUACUAUGACGUCUUUCUGAGUUUCAUGGUUCUAUUUAUGUCUUUUUGAAGCUACAUCCUUAGUUGAAAAGGCUAUUUUCCCUAGAGAAAAGAGGACUAUUCUUCAGUCAAGGUCACAUCAGAAGUUCAAGAUCUUAAAGAUUUAUUUACGUUUUAAAUGUUUGUUGGAUUCCAGGAACAGUCCUGGAUGUGAAAGGGGGAUUAAAAAGAUUGUUCCUUAUCUGGAUAUUAUUCAUUAAUUCAUCCACUUAUUUAUACUUUUAUCAUUUUUCAUCCCAAAUUACAACUUUUUACUGAAUAUUGUACAAGGUUUAUGGCAUGGUUUUAAGCUUUGGAGAUAUGCAGAUAGAGGCACCGCCUUCAUCGAUUUUACAUUUAAGUGGAAGAGAUUGACAAUAAAAUUUUACAAAUUAACA
ensembl:lncRNA